rnacentral:rRNA from 1 species
GAUGAACGCUGGCGGCGUGCCUAAUACAUGCAAGUCGAGCGAACGGACGAGAAGCUUGCUUCUCUGAUGUUAGCGGCGGACGGGUGAGUAACACGUGGAUAACCUACCUAUAAGACUGGGAUAACUUCGGGAAACCGGAGCUAAUACCGGAUAAUAUUUUGAACCGCAUGGUUCAAAAGUGAAAGACGGUCUUGCUGUCACUUAUAGAUGGAUCCGCGCUGCAUUAGCUAGUUGGUAAGGUAAAGGCUUACCAAGGCAACGAUGCAUAGCCGACCUGAGAGGGGGAUCGGCCACAUGGGAUGUGAGACACGGCCCCGACUCCUACGCGAGGCAGCAGCAGGACGUCUUCCGCAAUGGGCGAAAGCCUGACUGAGCAACGCCGCGUGAGUGACGAAGUUCUACGGUUCGUAAAACUCUGUUAUUAGGGAAGAACAUAUGUGUAAGUAACCGUGCAGAUCUUGACGGUACCGAAUCAGAAAGACACGGCUAAAUACGC